UAUAGAUAUCCACUCAAACCUCCAUCUAGGAUGCUUUCUCCAUAUUUGAUCCAUCUUCUCCAAGGUGGAUCUGAAGGGCUCUCGAUUAGCAACGAAGUGAUCUCCAGGGAGAGCUGCUGGAUCAACUUUUAAUGCAGCCCUUUCUCCCUCCUUUGGUGGGUCAAUGCUUGAACUCUUUCAAGUGAAUAAGGGAUAUACCAACACCUUUGGGUGUGAGGUAUGGAGGGAGCCUACUCUAGGCAU
rnacentral:lncRNA from 1 species